rnacentral:rRNA from 1 species
CUUUCUUGAUUCGGUGGGUGGUUGGUGCAUGGCCGUUCUUAGUUGGUGGAGCGAUUUGUCUGGUUAAUUCCGAUUAACGAACGAGACUCUAGCCUGCUAACUAGGCGAUUUCCGGUACCCACAAUAGUGUUACCGGCGAUUCAAUUUCUUCUUAGAGGGACAGGCGGCUCCUAGC